GCCUUCGUAGUGUAGUGGUUAGCACGCUCGGCGCGUAUUCGCGAGGUCCGUGGUUCGAGUCCUGGUGAGGGCA
rfam:Stegodyphus mimosarum contig30862, whole genome shotgun sequence.